rnacentral:rRNA from 1 species
UACGUAGGGUGCAGGCGUUAAUCGGAAUUACUGGGCGUAAAGCGUGCGCAGGCGGUCUUUUAAGUCAGAUGUGAAAUCCCCGGGCUUAACCUGGGAACUGCGUUUGAAACUGAAAGGCUAGAGUGUGGCAGAGGGGGGUGGAAUUCCACGUGUAGCAGUGAAAUGCGUAGAGAUGUGGAGGAACACCGAUGGCGAAGGCAGCUAUCUGGCCCGUAAUUGACGCUGAGGCGCGAAAGCGUGGGGAGCAAACAGG